GGCUGUGUGUGUCCUGGUUUGCACUUCCCAUUGCUGCUCUCUCUCUCUCUCUCUCUCUCUCUCUCUCUCGCUUGCUCUGCCGCUCUCUCUCUCUCUCUCUCUCUCGCCAGACAGUCUGCAGUUUGCAACAGCAGGAAGAAGGCAGCAAAGAGCCAGUGGAGAGGAAGAAAGAAAGGGAAGGAGUGUGAUAAAUAAGAGACGAGGAGGAGGAGGAAGCCGUCGGGAAGAAGGAAGGAAGUGAGGAAGAGUAGCGGCGAUAAGUGGAAGACGCCCGGAAUGAAGAAAGGAACGCAGAAGUGGCUUGGCUUCAGUGGGAGGGGUGAGGACGGAAGGAUAGAGAUAGAGGAAUGCAGAAAAAAGAACUACUCCUGCACAGGAAGAUGCUGGGUAAGAGCGUGCACGUUGAUUCUGUCCAUCCACUCUCCUUUGUGAGUCUGUGGGAGAGGCUGCUGGCGGCCAGACGUGGACGCGGUGUGACAGUGUGUCAGCGGAUGUUUGCAGGAGGCAACGCCAGGAGAAACGCCCAGAGAGGAAGAGUUGGUGUAGUAACGGGGGGCCGGGCAGCCAGCAGGGAUCGGGUUGCAGAACAGACCAAUUUAGACCAGUUAACCAGAGGAAGGUGGUGACAGUUGACCAGAGUCGCUGCAGAAACGAACAGCAGGCAGCAGAUUCACAGAGCAGCAGGUAAUAAUCUGUUAUUCUGGAGCUCAACACAUCUGAUGGAAACUACAUCACAGCUGUGAAGGACAGAACCCGUCUGCGUGCAGCUCCUCCCUCUGGUUCCUCACAGAGAACCGGCCUCUUUAACAGAUAAGUCAUCUUUAUUUGUCAUACGUCACAACGUUAGCAAUGAAACCCGCCCUCUGCAUUUGACCCAUAUCUGGGGGAGCUAGAGUGCCUUGCCCAAGGACACACCCGGGCUCAACUGGGUUUGAACUCGCACACUGCCUCCCAGACCACUGAGCCCACGGAGCCGCCUUCAUCGAGUGCUGGGGAACAUUCAACGCUGUCGGUGAGUUUGUGACUCUGUGAAACCAUCGAGCGUUGAUUGUACCUUUACACUCGUCCUCACAACGAGCACAGACCAUGAUGACGACUGGCCGACGCCGUUGAGCCUUGUUCAUCGUAGGACGCAUGACGUGUCGACAUCUUGUAUCCUUGAGCACUGAUCUACAAACAGGAACGGAUGGUAAGAACUACAGGGGCAGAUUUAGGAACUAAGGCCAGUUUGGACAUGGAAACAGUUGUGUUGCUUGUAUGUUUUGACAUAACGACUAAACUAACGAUCUGACGAUGACAGAAGCUCAGCAGUGAUGAUCCAUCAGGUCUGAGCUUUAAAGGUCACUUGGUGCUGGUGUCGCUUCACUGCCUGAAGGAGCUGGGUUUAAACCCACCAGGAGACUCCGUCUUUGGUUUCUCCCACAUUCCAGGGAUGUGCGUUAGACAAACUGCCCACAGGGUGGAUGUGAUGAUGUCGUACGGGUCGGAUCAGCACCUCGUCCUCUGCUCAUGAUGGGAACAGGUAACCAACCACCUGUCAGGCCUCCGUGACCCCACAGACUCACGUGGACGAGUCCACGACCUGCAGGUUUCCGGUUCACAUUCAUCGCUGUCGGUGGGUUGCAGGUGAGAUCAACCUGCCGGUCGAUGAAUGGCGGCCGCGGCUGUGCAUCUGCAGCCGGCCUCGUCGUCCACUGACUGGGUGGGAAGAAAUAUUUUGUAAACAGGUCAAGAUAUAAAUAAAGUCAUUUGAAGAUGUUAAAGUUGUCGUGUA
rnacentral:lncRNA from 1 species